UUUCCAGAUCUUGCAGAUCUUCUUUUAUAGACAGUUCUGAGAAGGUCCAGAAAGGUAAAGCUUUCAUUGGUCAUGAAACUAACACAUCACCAGCAUUGAUCUGGAACAACAUUUUUAGGAACAACACCCCUUGACUGUUUCUUACAAGUAAACAACAAGGUAACAAACAACAGCUGCAAAGGUUGUUUUCCUUCUCUAAGGACUGUCUGGAAUCCUCAUCAUUUUUCAGGCCAUACUUUCUCAGGCCAGUGUGAGAAAGUUAAGUGAUUUAGUUUCACACAGACACUGUGCUUACUGCCUGAUUUCUCACAUUCAGCAUCCAUAGUCCCCUUUCACUAGAACCCCUUCCCAACUCUUCCCCUGAUGCUGACAGUGGAUUGCUCUGAAAGCGAUUAUCACACUAUCUGACAGCUGUCUUCCACAGGAAAACAGCAAGUCUUGAACCUGCCCUGCAUCAUCUCUUUUGGGAACCAAAUCAGCUGGAAUAGAUCAUACCUUGGACCAGGUUUCUGACACAGAGAGAAAAAACUUGAGGCCCCGGGAGACAGGAUACUGAAAAGAUGGAAAUUAGGAUGCUACUGGGAUCAUUCCAUAAUAGGUCAUGUCCCUGGUUCGCAUUUGCAAUUGGACCCCUGCCCUCAGGUACCCCUAUGAAUUGUUAAGCUCACCACGCCCCUGGGUCUUCGGAGCUUUACCCCAGAACAUGCAGUUCCUGUGGUUUGUUAUUUUACCACCAUUAAAGCAUUUCAGGCAACUCCAUCAUUCCCGUCCUUCCAUUUUGCCAUGCCCACCCAGCUGGACAGGACCUGGAGUCACAGCGAGCCAACUGUGACAAGUGGCACCUGAACAGGGACUCCCAUACUGGAGACAUCUAGGGAUCAGUUUGGCUGGGUCCUGGCCAAACCAGCAGGAUCUCUUCUCUCCACUGUGGAUUAUUUUGUCAGGCCUGACACUUUGGCAACAGACAGCCAUUGGAGGACAACCAGCUGUCUCGGAGGACACCUGCUAGGAACACAGAUUUGGUGCCGUGACUCGGAUUCGGAGAAACUGCGGGGAAUUUCGCUGUCCGGGAGGGGUACCCCUGCUGAUUUUAGCAGCCUGGACCUGCAAAAACGAGGACUAAUUCCCCAAAGCGCCACUCUGGGAUUCGCUAUACACCAGAUACAGCCUAGAGAUAAAGUCCUCGUCAAAACUUGAAAAGAGCUUCCCCUCACCCCCCAGUGAAGGUGAGGGGAAGCUCUUUUCGGAAGGACCGUUCCUCGUCCUCCUGACCACAGACACCGCUGUCCGGACCGCAGAAAGGGGCUGGACACACUCAUCUCAAGUAAAAAAAGUGAAGAAUUACGACGCCUCCGAGUAGAAAGUCACCACCCCUCCAGGAGAACUUAAAUUAAGAUUCAACGUCACCACAAAUGACCAGUGAAGAUCAGAUAAGUUGUUACAACCCAAAUUGUGAUUGUUUCCCUUUUAUACAUUUUAAGUGCGUUUAUUGUAAAAUAAUUUGAGUAACCCACUGUUGGGGAGGAUACAGGCCUAAGGGAUUGUCUACUGAUUGUCUAACUGAGGAGCAAGAAUUGACUAGCCGUCUCUUAAUACUUGCCACCCAGUUGGAGUUAUUAGAACUUGACUCUCCUGAGUGGUACCAAAUUUACCAAAAAAGAAUUAGAAAAAAAUUAGAUGCUAAAGCAGAAGUAUUAGCGACUGAGUGCCGAAAGACAGUCAAAGUACUGUGCAAGACUGAUACAAUUAAAUUGUCUCGGUGAGCUACUUUCAAGAGAAGGUAUGCCAUUAAGACUACAAAGACCCCUGAAGACUAUACCUGCUGCCAAGAAGAUGGUACUCCCCGCCGUAUAUUUUUAUACGGGCGAAGGGCAAAGCAGAGGCAUACAACGGUGGGGAAUCCUGAUUGUCCUGAAUCUAGCCAUGUGCUUAACCAAGGGAAUGAGUCCCGAGGUACCUCCGGGGGAGCAUCUCCUGGAGAAGUGUGAGCAGUGUAAGACUGCCACAGAUACCAGACGAAUAAUUGACUGUCCUACAGAACGAAAAAAGGGGUCUUAUUUGUCCAAUGGCACUCAGUAUAAUCUCUGUGAACUAAGGGGAGAGAUCUGGUGUCACCACUCAGAGGCAGGUUUUAAGGACGGGCAGUCUAAAACUCCUGUGAAAAGAAAAACCAAAGCUACCCACUUCAAGUAUAGGAGAGAAGUGAGAUUGCUUCCUCCAAUUCCAAUCUGUAACCAAUGUAACAAAACUGUCUGGGUAAGAAGAAAAAGACAAUCCACUUUUUUAGCAUAUUAUAAAGUCAACCCUUUAUGUUACAAUAAAGCAAACUUAAAAACGUGUACCAUGAGAAGAAAAUUGUAUUGAGAAGGUAGAAAUUUAAAACAUGAGAGAAAAGCCUCCUUUAGUAAUGAGCCGAUAAUUCUC